AACACCCCCACGUCUCCUCCCCUCAGAUAAACAUAUAACAUAAUUAUAACGUACAUAAAUUUACCCACAUUCUGGAUGUACCCCAAAAACAGGGGGUACACCUUUAAGUCCAGCACCGCUUAAUAGCUACCACUCAGGGGAAUAACAUAUUCAAAUUUCGAGUCAUUCGGUUGUGGGGUUCGGGAGUUAUGGGUCUUUGAAGUUUUGACCGACCGCACAGGAUUUUCAGCCGAAAAGAGUUCCACAAGUUUUGGCCUUGCGGUCGGUCCCCGUUCGUGAAUAAAA